rnacentral:lncRNA from 1 species
CUUUGACUCUUCUUAUCUUCCCCACAUGUGACUUCAAUAGUAAAUACUUUCCCUAAGUGACUGUGGUUUCCUCAUCUGUAAAAUAGUGAGAUCUACUUUGCCCAUAGAAUAUCUAGCACAGUGUCCAGCUGAAAACUGUUACUAAUUACAUUCCACCUCAGCCUGCUGUUAAACUAAGGUUACUUCAAACACACUAACUUACAUUUCUAUGGCUCUCACUUGCAUCUACCAUUUCAGGACUGAAGCUCAGCAGAGCCCACUGGGAUGAUUCUUGGAGUCCCCAGGAGGUAUCUACAUGUGUUCUCACACAAGGCUGGCCAGCCUCCAUAUCCCCUAUGGUGUUUGAUAUGCUCUGCCAAGCCUGAGAUACCAUUAAUCCAGUUUGGGAACUUAACCUGACUAUUGUGUCUAGAAGUGGAAGCUGAUUUGGAUUAGAUAAAGUCAUCAUGGUGGAGCCUCACGAUUGAAUACUGGUGGCUUUACAAGAAAAGAGAGACCAUAGAGUCUAGACCCAAGUGCAUGGUCCUUGUUUAUAUCAUUUGAUUUGGGACUCUGCCAGGAAAAAGGCCAUUACGUGAUGUACAUCCUUGAACCUCCAGAACUGUGGAAAUGUCCUUGAAUUCUGAGACCACGG